UAGAGAUAUGGCUGUGGACUUUGUGAAGCAUCUGGCAUUAAGCCAUCUCAUCAUGGCAGGAAGAUAUAAAUUUAUAUCCUGUGUCGGUGUUUGGAAGACAAGGAGAAUUCUGCAAAUCAUAUGCAGAGACCACACUGUACUUGUGGGAUUGAGCUGGGAACCAGUUUAUUAAACCAACAAAAUGAGACAGGAAUAGCUUUUAGAAUCCAUACUACACAAAUGUAAAAUAAGUAGACUUACUGUGCUGCUCCACCAGUCGACAAGGACAACACUGGGAUGUUCCCUCUGUCUGAUAAUGACAGCCAUUACUGAUUUUACCCAUAUAGAGCUGAGCCUGGAUAAGAAAUGAAGGACAAGAAGAAAGAGCAGGAAGAGCUGCAGACAGGAAUUAAAAAGAGUUACCUGGAAGGUUGCACCCUGGUACAGAAGAAUUGAGAGAGAAGCGGGGGAAAAAGUUCAUAUUUAAGAAGAACACUAACAGAAUUCAGAACACCAACAUUUCUCAUUUAUCUGGACUAGCAUAUUUAUUGGUCCACUGUUUCUAUCAGUCCCUUAGUCUUUGUUUCAUCGUACUAAUUGUGUGCCCAGACUCUUCGAGUGUGCAUCAAACUCAGCAUCACUCACGCUGUGGGUGAAUUAAUUAAAGCACCAAGAAAUUCAUGCUCAGCAAGGAGAACAAUUGGCUCGAUGCACUUGGAUGUCGAUUUACCCGCUAAGAGCUCAGGGCAUGUGAAGGAACUGCUGUGAGCGUGUCCCAGGCGCUGGAGCUGCUGCGGGUGCCGUGUCUCUGUGCUGAACCAAGGCCACCAGUCAUACAGCAAGCGGCUCCUUCACCCACAUCUGCUCAUCCCGCCUCGUUAAUGCUGGAGACAGCUGUCCCCAUUCUGCUUCAGUGGGGUGAAGGAUAGUGAGAACAAAUGCCUGGUGAAGACAUUAUGUCUAGGAAAGGAGUGCAGGAAGGUGUCCAGGAGCCUGGAAUAGAGGUAAUUCAGAUGAAGCUCCUGUCUGACAGCAGGACCUGGAGGCGUGUUACUGCCAAGCCAUCUGGGAUAGAAAUUUGGUAAUGAGAGGACACUACUACACCAUUCCAUCAUCUGUGAUGAUUUCCUGGAAGUUUUAAGUCUUAAUGUGUGAGUAAGUCCAGAACUGUAACAUAGGAGAGAGACCUGGCUGACAGCCUUUCUAAGAAUUAAGCCCAGCAACGCUGGCUCUAAUGCAAUUUGAUGAUAAUGGCCUAAUUGAGUUACCAGUGAAAUUUCAGAGAUUUCACUGUGAUUAUACACAACACAUGCAUGUGUGUGUGUCACAGUUCGUCCAUUAUUUAGCCUAAUAUUUUUAGGAUCUAGGUUUGCAUUAGGUUACUGGCAGCCUGCCUGUGGCCAUGUACAGGCAGAAGCAAUCAGUAGCAGGGGCCUACCGCUAUCCUUACCAAUGUCAGUGAGUUUUGCAAAAGGACUUUCCAAAGAACAGGGAUAACAUUUAGGGCCUCUACCGCAUAUUCAAAAAUAGAACAGAUUGUGUGCAAACUGAAUUCUUUGUCUCUGCAGUGUCUCUUAUUCCUAUUCAUCAGCAGAUGAUCUUAUCACUUGGUUUCACAUGAGCUACAUUGCUUUUCAUGAUGUCAUUUUUAGAGCUCUUUUGUUUAAAACUGUGCAACUUCCCGUAUGGACACUUUUAUUAAUUUUGUUCAAUAUUUCAUUGAUUUAGUUUUAUGUGAGAAAGAAAUCACUUAAAAUUGAUAUGAAUUGGAUUUAAAUUGGAUUGCCCAUAGAUACUGUUGAGUUCACAAAUUUUGCAACCUAAUAAUAACUUCAAGGGCUUUCAUUCCCUCUUCAUUGCUCUUUUUCAAGCUCUGUAAUAAGUCAAUUGUUUCUCACCCCACUCAUCUUGCAGCAAGAUUUCCCACAGUUAAUUAGAAUUUAGUUCAACAUCUUUUAAUGCGUAACCUUUUAAAGUCAUAGACAAAUACUGCUUAAGAGUCAGCACUGUACAUACAAUUUAUAACGUUAAAAAUCUAGGAGUUGCAUACCAGCUAGGGGGGACUUCUGUUUUAUUAAUAUGUUGGAUUUUUUUUUUCCUAUUUACUAUUUCUUAGUAGGAAACUUUAAGAGAAUUCACUUCAAUAAUUUCAGAGAAUUUCUUUUGAUUUAGCACAGCACAGGUUUAGCAUAGUAUAAUGUACUGUGAUGAAGUCAGAUAGCUUUGAGCUAUCUAAAAUUGGUCAUUGGCCAGGCUGGUUUGCUUCAUGAAUUAGAGAAAAUUAAAGCUUCUUGCCCUGGUGGUGCUUACUGGCAAAUAGGAGCUUCUGGAACUUAGGGACAUCACAGAUCUGUCCUUUUUUCCUUAUUAUCCUCUCUGCAGUGGAGCCCAGUAAAAGGGACAUGGCACCACACCAAUAUUCCUGCUCAUUAGUGACAAUCCUGUCCCUAGGAAUACUGUGCUAUUGAGCUUAUCCAUUCAUUGGCUUCAAAGCAGAUAAAAUGGUGCUGUUGCUCUGAUAUUUAGUGGAUUAUCACACAGUAGUGCUACCGGUUGUGUCCUGAAAGUUUCUAAGAUCUGAAAUACAUUCUUUUAAAAACACCUGAAAGAUGAGAUGUUAGAAGAGACACCUGUUGCCUUGUAACCAGGUGGGCUGGAGCUUAUUACAGCAGAAGAAACAGCAAGCAUAUUUUACAGCAUUUGGUUUUGACUUUUUGUUGCUGUUCCCCUGAAGGAAACAAAACCAUGUGCUAGCAAGCAGAAGCAACAGUUUAGCAAAAGAAAAGAAAAGAAGAGGUACAGGUCUUAUAUGAAAUGCUGUGAAACUUGUGGCAAUAACAAGACAAAACCAGAUGCAGCUGCAAAAAAACACAAGCAAAAACUACAAGCCACUAUCCUAUAUCUUGAGUCGUAUCUUCUUUUUAUGGUGGUUAGAUAUCCUCUUCCUGAAGAAUGUGCAAGGCUAAUGUCUAAACUGUGAUGACAAUGAAACAAUAGCAAAUUUGAAAGAGACUGUUUGUUCAAGGAAGCAGUUUGCCAGUGGAUGCAUUGUGAAGUGGUAGAGACCUAAAUAAUGUGGAGUUAUUAUUGUUUAACUUUGGACAUCAAGAUGUGGCACUGUCAGACAGAAGGGCCUGAAUGAGAUCGGUAGCUACAUUAUCAACUAAAUUAUUCUGGUAGCACUGAGUGUUUCAUUUUAGUUCCUUGUCAGAUGCAGUAUGAAAGAACUAUGAAAGAAUAUGAAAGAAUGUACAGUCUUUUUUUUUUUUUUUUUUUUGUCUAACCAAGAGAUACAACUGCUGAAGGUGACAGAAAAGAAGACGAAAUUACCAGAAGUUGAUCUUGCCGGAUUUCUCUCCAAGAUCAGAAAUAUUAAUGCCAGUAUCACCUAGAAAUAAUAUUCACUUUGAAAAUUUUAGGCACAUUUGUCAGACAUAGUAGUUCAAAAUAGUUACCUUUUACAUUUCUGAAGGCACAUCUGCACAUAAACUGUCUGAAUCAGAACCAGGAUCUGCAUGCAUAUCAUGCCUUGUGCUGUUACACAACAGGUCAGAUUAGAUAGUCUUUUCUUGCUUCAAACAUUCUAUGAAUCAAAUUCAAUUUCUGAACUUUGGAAGCAUCUCAGAUUUUCUUUUAAUAUGCAAAUCAGGUCUAAUUUAUCCCAGAAUAGCUACAACACAUCCGCAAUCAAUGUCACUGUGAUAGGAUCAGGUUAAAUUCAGUUCAAUGAAUUAAACCAUUUCAUUUGCUUUAGCUUCUUUGGAGACUACAGGAAGCGUUCACAUAAAAUAACCACACUAUUAAUUACUGUUGUAAAAUAUACACCUGAACACGCUGCAGACUAUAUGACCAUGGACAACAGAAAUGUGAACCUCCCCACUCAAGGGGGUCAUAGCUGUAUCUGACAUGAGACCGCCAUUCUUCCCAUAGAAAAUUAUGCUUCUUACAAUAUAUUCUCAAAUCCUAUGGUUUUUUUUGGAGGGGUAAAGACUAUUGCUUAACUUAUAUUUUCUGUUUCUAUAUUGAAAAAGCCAAAAGUGAAAUCUGACAACAGUUAUGUUAUAAAAUCUUUCAUUUGUCCCUAAUGUAUUUCUGUUGUGUUCCUUGCUGGAUGGGAACACCUGUUUUGUUCUGAAUGUUGCAGCUGGAGUCAACAUCACCUCAACAAAACUGCUAAUGAUAGGAUUCCUUCCCUUUUGAGAGAAGCACCCAAACGAAGAUCAUGCGGUGUGCAGUACUGGACACCUCGGUUUUCUUCUGCACCCAAAAGGUUGAGCUACUACUUCAAUAUUUCUGUAAUCUUAGUCCAGCACAUCUGGCUAAACUGGAAAAAUUCAGGCUCAAUUAGGGCUGGGCUUUAAGAUCCAUGCACUGCUUCCCCAACUGCAGCCAAGGCUGCAUAAAACUUUGGCAAUGGUUAAUGGAGAACACAGAUGGUGCACGUGCACUGUGGCACUGAUAUUUAUUUUCUUUACCAACAUCUAAGUAGACCCUUCAUGAGGGAAAGGGAUGUUUAAUCCAGCAUGUUUUUAAAUGUCUUUUCUGGCACUGCAAUCUUGUCACUUAGCAAAUGCAGAGAAUGUGGGUCCUCAUAUCUGAAUGGCCCACCCAAAUGACACUUCACUUUCAUACAGACAGCUGCUGGGGCUACUGUGCUGGUGAAGCUCCAGAAGUGAGGAAAUGAAGUUACAUCCUCCUCUGACACUAUUUUUAAAUGAUAUAAAAUGAAGAAAUCACAGGAGGAGGUUUAAGUCCAAAGAACAGUGUGCAUACCUCAGGUAUUAUAUUGAAUAUGAGGGAGCUGAAGAGUAAGAAUUGUGAGUCCUGAAGACUGUUACUUUAUGACAUAAUGAAAAAGCUUAUUGUCCAGUGUGUAACUGCAAUAGUUUGAUGCUCCAUCUUCAUGGUGAUAUAUUAAAUACACCAUUAUUUUAUGUAGCUUCAAGUAGUAAACUUUAUUAUGAUUACAAAUGAUAGACAUUAAUGGAUCAUUAAUCCAUAUAAUAAUACUGAAUUUUCAUAAAACAAUUUCAAAUAAUUUAAAAUUCUCCCUAAGAACCUUUCUGACACCCUCCACUAGAAAAUGACUUUAUUUUAUUUAUCCCUAAUCAUUCCACACUUCCCUGGUUCCUCUAAUUACUGCUUCAAUUCUCAAUUGUUUGUUCACAUCACCUUUAACCAUCACUCCCAUAAAUUAAAAUACACCACCAACAUGUCAGACUUCAGAUGAAUUUCUAAGUUUGUAUUUCCCAAAGUAAACACUAUAGGUAGUGCCCAGGAAGUUUCUACACAUGAAUCACAUUACGGUAUUCUAUAGAAUAUUAUUAUAUUUUUGGCUAUGCCAUGUAUAAUUACUCAGGCAGGAUUUUUUAACAUCUUAAGUAAGCAGCUGAUUAAUUAAUGUCUCAACAUUGCCUGAGAUCUGCAGUUAAUGAUUAUCCUUUUUUGCUGAAUUUUAGGACAACUAUUGGCCAGGUACCACAAAAGUCCGGAAACUGAGGCCAAUUUAUACCUAAUGCAACAAAAUUCCUUGCUAUGGAAUGAAUAAAUAAGAAUAGACACAAAUCUUGUAGAUCCUGAAAUGUCUUCUAUUCACCAAAAACUAGAUCAACACUAUCCAUGUGACUUUGGAUAAAGUCUAAUUGUGUAGUCUUUCAAAGUUAGGGCUUCCUUUGUGGCUGAUUUCAGUCUGCAAUUGUGCACGUGUGUUUUGUUUAUUAAGUCAGGAGAAAUGCAGUGGAACUAAAUUAUGAACUUGUGCAGUCAUGGUUGUGAAGAUACCUCUAAUAAGUAUAAAACAGUUUUUAAUUACUCAGAUUCUUUUUACCUUUUCAUAAACUUAUUUUUAAAUGCACCUAAGCACAGACAUGUUAGACAUGGCUGCCUUGACAACAUUCCAACCUCCUGUACAAGCUGUGUUCCAGGGAGCCUCCUAUUGAUUCAGAGGUGCAUUUGGUAAAGGCUCACUAUAUUAUUUGCUCAUUCACAUGCAUUGCUAAAGUCUGACUGGUGUCAGGAGCAGUGUGUUCCCCUGAGUGCUGCCUCAGGCUCCUUCUGCCUUCAAGUUUCCACUUGUGGAACAAUGACUGCCUGCUUAGAGACUGAAGUCCUUCAUGCUUAUAAUACCUAAAAUCUGAUCAUAAAGCUAUGUGGAGACUUAUUCAGACCCCUUCUGUAUAAUUUCUAUGCACCACUACACUGGUCACCCAUUAUAAUUAGGCAUCAAUAAAUUCCCAAUAAUUUAACACAUGCUGUAUGUGGAACAAUAUAUAAGGAAUUUUAUGAUUUCUCUAAAUGAAGCUGUCAAGAAAUGGAUUUUCCUCAUUAUGCCAGAGCAUCAAAGACUUGUAAUUCUUCUGCAUGCAAAAAGUUUCUCAAACUGACAUAACUUCAUAGCUAGGUUAGCAGAAAUAUGACUUAAAACUAUUAAGAUUCCCAUGUAAUUUUACUUUAAUAGGAGAAAUGCAUUCUUAUGAAGUGCAUCUGAAGUCUCUAUCUUUGAAAAUUAAUUAGUAAAUUGACCUAUUAUCUCAAGACAGACGUGCAGCUCUGGAGUGAGAUCAAAUAGUGAUGAAUAGGAGUAAUCUGAAAAAGUAUAUUCUAAUAAUUUGAUUUUGAAUCAUGAUCUGGCAAUGUGAAACCAUCUAUGUGAAGAACCAUUUGAAAUUGCUUAGUUGAAUUAUGUUUUGUCAUUAAAAUGAAGCUCUCAUUUUACGAGAUUUUAAUUGUAUUUUUCUUCAGGCUUCUGUUCACUUUUUAGCCUCUUAUUUGGCUUUUUUUAUUUGAGAAUUUCUUAUGAAUAGUCCAAACUUACUUCCACAUUUUCCAGCAAGAUAUUCUGUAUGAUUCAUUUUGAACCUCUUUGGUGUAAGCUGAAUCUUGACAAUACAAAAAAUAUUUCAAAUACAUAUGGAAAUGCUUCGUAUUCUCCUGCUGUUUGUCAAAAUUUUUUGUUUUUACACGGGUGUUUUCUCCUUGAUCUUCAUACUCUGAUUGGCAACAUUAUUUAAAUUUUAUUUUUUUCUCAUUGAAAAAAGGUAAUUUGAAUAAUUAUUAUAACUCUUCAUUGAAAUAUUGCUGCGCUUUAAAAAAAUGCUCAUCCAAAAUAUAUCUUUGGUGGAUUUUUUUUAUUAUUGUUUUUUUUUUAAAUUCUGAAGAAAGAUCAUCAUUAAUCUGUUACUGGAUUUCUCAAGGCUUGGGUGUCGUGGAAUGAUGACACUAUAUGCUUCUAAACUUCAAACAAGAUUGAAGGACAGAAGCACUUGAAAGAAAUCCCUUCAAGGAAUCACUUCCAUGUUUGUAUGAAACCAAAACUUAUGCUGCUUUGAAUUCGGCCUGUGUCUGCCAGCUCUCCUCUUUCUUGGAACCAGACUCAUUCAGAAGAGACAGCAUAAAGGAGUCUGCAACUGGUUUCUUUAUUGGUCCAGCUCACAUGUGAUGUAUUUUCACAGAAACAGAACAUUUCUCAUUAAGUACUUGCCAUGCUUUUCCAUAUUCAGAGAAAGGCCUUUUUGCAAGCACCCCAGUUGCAGAGCAUGAGAAAGUGUGGCAUACAGGGGCCAUGUACAUGCAUUUAUUGUACCCAUUUAGGCUCCAUCCCUGUGAAUGAUCACCUGUAAUAAUCCAAAAUUAUUACUUUGUGAACUGUGUACUUAAUUUUGCUACUCUUUUGCUCCUGGUGCAUAAAGAAUGCAUUAUGCAAGGUGGGUAAUGCUGUUCCAUCUAAAAAUAAAGAUUUAUAAAAGCAUUUGUGGGAGUGCAGUUGUUCAAUAAGAAAGCUCUAAUUGCAGAAUUCUGUGAAUGUUUUACUGUGAUUAAUUUAUAUACUGCAUCUACUUUCUUGUUGUGCAAACAGGACAAAAAUAAAUUGUCAUUACCUUACAUUGUAUACUAAAACACAGUCUUUACAACAGAAAGACUAAAUGAUAAAAUUGCUCUAAGUAAGACAGAUAAGGCAGUCUAGAAACAAGGAUUUGUUUGUGGUGUGGGCUUUUUUCCUGCCUUCCUCUUAAAAUUCUAAUAUAUGUACUUUUCAUGGGCACUGUAAAAUAGGCUGGUUUUAGGAUGGUUCUGAGUGGGAGAAAAGUUAUUUGACAUAAUAAGAAAUACCUUUGCAAGUCUUCAAGCUGUUCUAUUCAGUGUCUACUGUUAUAAUUCUGCCUCAUAGGGCACAAAAGGAAAUGAUAAAAAUAAAAGCUGAAUUAUGAUAUGGAGAGAUUUUAAAUGGACUAUGAUUUUACAAUGUUUAUUUUUUUUAAAUCUGAAAAAAAUAUAAAUUAUAUGUAGUCUGGGAUUUUUUUGUAAAUCAUCACAUUAAAAUUUUAUUGCAUGUUACAAGAAAAAUACUAAGAAUAUUGGUGGAGUCUGGCAAAGAACAUUUACCAAAAGUUGAUCUAAACCUGUAUUUUACAUUUGUAUUCCAUAAAGACUUGUCUGUACAUAUUUCCUUUUUGUCUUUUGCAGCCCCAGAAGUGAUUUCAGUAGUUGUAUUUUAAAACCAAAUAUUGAAAAUAGGUCUGUAAAGAUCAAUAAAAAGCUAAAUUAUUCAGUACCAGGCAGAACAAAAUGUUUUGUUCCACCUAUCUUAUUAUUAAAUAUUGAAAUAAAGCCUCUGAGUAUUUUUUAAGUAGAGGAAUAUUUUAGCAUCCUUAUAAAAAAAAGGCUGAUUCUAAAUUCACCUAGAGAUGAAUGAUGGUUUAUUUAUUUUAAAUGCUGUUCUCCCUUCAAAUUGUAGAUAAUUUAAAUCCAAGGUGUGUCCUGUGUUAAACUCCCAUGUAAUAAACAAGAAAGAUAUGUGUUGCUAGUUAAUCUUUUGCUAUUGUCCAGUCUCUGCUUCCUCUGAACUACAAGAUCUUAUGAGAAACUAAAAAAAU